GUAACGAUGGUGCCAGCUUUCCAGAGGAGACAUGACUACCUAAAUGAGUGGAAUUUUAAACCAAUCAGCCUGGAAUUUCCUGAUCAACAGCAGUGAAGUAACCUGCCUGGCUGGCACUCAAACCACUGAGCCACACCAGCCAGGGCCGACAAUGUUUUUUUAAUGAAGGUCUUUUCUACACCCCCCCUAUCUUGUUGACUUAAUUUUAUUUUUUGAA